rnacentral:lncRNA from 1 species
AGCAGCUUAAUAAUUUAUUUGUAAAGUUGUAUCGCUUUAAUCCGAUAUAAGUACGUUUAAUCAACGGUACUAUUUUUUUCCAUACUUUCAGGUACCAUGCACAAAUAUUGAUGAUGGACAUUUUUCAUGAGUAUGAAAUACACACUAAAUAAAUACAACUGCAUAUCAACAUCGUAUAAUAAGUGGUUUCUGUACAACUAAUUUAAUCAUAAGCUAAAAUUUCAUUAGCUAAUGAAACAACAAAAGAUGGACUUGAGGCAAGAAAUGGUCAAACAUAAGCUUUAAUUCUCUUUACCUUAUGAACAAAAAUGAGGGACUUGUGGCAAGAAAUGGUCAAACAUAAACUUAAAUUCCAUUGGCUAAUGAAUCAAGAAAAUAUGGACUUGAAGCAAGAAUUGGUCAAAUGUAAGCUUAAUAGUUUGUCAGCUACUGAAACAAUAAAGAGAGACUUGAGGCAAGAAAUGGUCUAAUCAUAAGCUCAAGAUUUCAAAAGCUAAUGAAACACAAAUGAGAAACUUGUGGCAAGACAUGGUCAGUAAACCUGACAUAACACUAAAAUGUAACCUCUGUAAAGAUUAUAUUCACCAUGUUGACGACAAUUAUCUGAAAUACGAUUAAGGUGGUACCUAACACUACAGGGAGAGAACUAUGUAAAGUCAGCUAAACGUUUUAAUUACGUUGUGUUGUAAAAGGAAUAUUAAGCUUCUCAAUGAUCAAAAUUGGUGUUUGUCAAACUGCUAUAUAACCAGUGUAAUUUU